rnacentral:rRNA from 1 species
UACGUAGGGUCCAAGCGUUGUUCGGAUUUACUGGGCGUAAAGCGCACGUAGGCGGCUUUGUAAGUUAGAGGUGAAAGCCCGGGGCUCAACUCCGGAAUUGCCUUUAAGACUGCAUCGCUAGAAUUGUGGAGAGGUAAGUGGGAUUCCGAGUGUAGAGGUGAAAUUCGUAGAUAUUCGGAAGAACACCAGUGGCGAAGGCGACUUACUGGACACAUAUUGACGCUGAGGUGCGAAAGCGUGGGGAGCAAACAGG